UCGUAAUCCUCGUCAAAUUUGGGGUCGACUCCAUGUAUCAGCUCAAAAUACCCGAAAAUCGUCAAAAAUCGCAAAUUUUGGUCAAAUCCGACUUUUGCCUGAAAACAUGUUAUUCCGACCCCAAAUUUGAUAAGGAUCACGAAAAUCCUACUUGUUUUGUUAUGGGAUCACUAUUUCCGGAGAUAUUGACUACUUCUGGUUACUUCCGAAACAUUUUCGUGACAAUUUGCAAAAAGUAAAAAAUGAGCUGUAUUAUUUUAACAAUUUCAAAUGUUUUUUCUUGCAUGCAUUAGGGUGUUGCAGCUUUUAUUCGGUGUUUUUCUUGUUAUCAACCGUACAGGCUGACCCUACAAUAUAUGACUUAUUGGGGGAAAAAAAAAAGUAAAAGUCUUUUGCGCUAGAUGGCUAUGUAGUGACAAUGACAGACAUUGAGUUUGCCAAACAGUUCGUCUGCUUUGGAAAUAGGUAAUCUGUUUCAGGAAUCGCGUUGACGUAAGCACGUAUGUGAGAAUUUUUUAAAAGAAAUUAGUUUUUCUAAUUUAAAAGGGCAGUAAGGCAGCAAAACAAAUGCCUUGCUUCUAUCGUAAAGUUUAGUUCAGCCCAUGCACUGAGCUUACCACUGAACAUGGCAAUGGUGGUGGUCUAAUGUUUAACAGUGUUGGUAGCAAUAAACAAACAGAACCUUUUUCACGUUGAUAAACAAUUAUGGUGAAUCGCAAGAGAUUUCUGAUUGAGGACAGAUACCAGUAAAGUUAUAACUGUUGCAAGCACAUGGGAAUAUCUCCACAUUGAUUUUCAUACUAUUAUGUUGCGACCAACAUUUCCCAACUAACCAUGAAAGAUGUUGUUUAACUAUAUUUGCUCAUACCAAAAAUUGAAUGCGGAAAGAGAAGAAGCUACUUGCACAUCACCAUUGGUUGCUGUCCCGAAGAUAAAAUAUAAAUUUUUUAAUAAAUUAAA